GACUGAUAGACUGGUAGUUCAAACAUAUUUAUCACCGUCUAGUCAGACACUACGCAUACACGGACAAAACAAAACAAAACUCCCCUCAGUGGCUCACGCGCUUUCAUAUACACAUACUAUUGAUACGUGGUACUAAUCGCUGUCAAUUUAACAAUAGAACCUGCAUACAGGAAUAUCCAGUGCAAUAAAACUAAAAAAUUAACACAAACGUAAUAGUAGCCGAUACAUUUGGUAUAGGAUUAAUUUAUUAUCCGAGUGUCAUGACAAAUUGUCUAUUUACACCACACACUUAAUAGAUGUAUUUCAACUGUCACGUAUCCCUCGUGUGUGCAUACAUCGUCAGUAUUUGAAAAUUAGAUUAAUAUUUGCAGAUCAUAGAUAGGGCAACACAAAUUAGUCAACAACUCGGGUGUUUGUGGGACUGUCGUUGCGACAGUGACCUACAUGGUGAGACGAAAAACAUGUCACUGCUGUUGGGAUCCAGAUCCGUCGACAUGCAAGACGUUCCAGUGUGAAGAUGGGAAGUGUGUCCCAGCACACUGGCGUUGUACUGGUCUGAUUGGCUGUGCCGACGGCAGCGACGAGCACGACUGUCAUGGCAAGUGGUGGCAAUAAUAUGAGAAGCAUGUUUUAAAUUGAAUGUUCAAAAAAAAAAAUCACCUCAAUAACCGCCAUCUCUAUAGAGAUGUCAUUCUCAUUUUCAUUAUUACAUACUGUGAAAUCACUUUUGUUUUUCGUGAUGAUCUAAUAUUUGUGUUA